GACGAACGCUGGCGGCGUGCUUAACACAUGCAAGUCGAACGGUAAGGCUCCAGCUUGCUGGGGUACACGAGUGGCGAACGGGUGAGUAACACGUGGGUGACCUGCCCUGCACUUCGGGAUAAGCCUGGGAAACUGGGUCUAAUACCGGAUAGGACCGCACCGUGAGGGUGUGGUGGAAAGUUUUUUCGGUGUGGGAUGGGCCCGCGGCCUAUCAGCUUGUUGGUGGGGUAAUGGCCUACCAAGGCGGCGACGGGUAGCCGGCCUGAGAGGGUGGACGGCCACAUUGGGACUGAGACACGGCCCAGACUCCUACGGGAGGCAGCAGUGGGGAAUAUUGCACAAUGGGCGGAAGCCUGAUGCAGCGACGCCGCGUGGGGGAUGACGGCCUUCGGGUUGUAAACUCCUUUCACCAUCGACGAAGGGUUUCUGACGGUAGAUGGAGAAGAAGCACCGGCUAACUACGAGCCAGCAGCCGCGGUAAUACGUAGGGUGCGAGCGUUGUCCGGAAUUACUGGGCGUAAAGAGCUCGUAGGUGGUUUGUCGCGUCGUCUGUGAAAUUCCGGGGCUUAACUCCGGGCGUGCAGGCGAUACGGGCAUAACUUGAGUACUGUAGGGGAGACUGGAAUUCCUGGUGUAGCGGUGAAAUGCGCAGAUAUCAGGAGGAACACCGGUGGCGAAGGCGGGUCUCUGGGCAGUAACUGACGCUGAGGAGCGAAAGCAUGGGGAGCGAACAGGAUUAGAUACCCUGGUAGUCCAUGCCGUAAACGGUGGGCGCUAGGUGUGGGUUUCCUUCCACGGGAUCCGUGCCGUAGCUAACGCAUUAAGCGCCCCGCCUGGGGAGUACGGCCGCAAGGCUAAAACUCAAAGGAAUUGACGGGGGCCCGCACAAGCGGCGGAGCAUGUGGAUUAAUUCGAUGCAACGCGAAGAACCUUACCUGGGCUUGACAUAUACAGGAUCGCGCCAGAGAUGGUGUUUCCCUUGUGGCUUGUAUACAGGUGGUGCAUGGUUGUCGUCAGCUCGUGUCGUGAGAUGUUGGGUUAAGUCCCGCAACGAGCGCAACCCUUGUCUUAUGUUGCCAGCACGUUGUGGUGGGGACUCGUAAGAAACUGCCGGGGUUAACUCGGAGGAAGGUGGGGAUGACGUCAAAUCAUCAUGCCCCUUAUGUCCAGGGCUUCACACAUGCUACAAUGGUCGGUACAGUGGGUUGCCAGUCCGUGAGGGCGAGCUAAUCCCGCAAAGCCGGUCUCAGUUCGGAUCGGGGUCUGCAACUCGACCCCGUGAAGUCGGAGUCGCUAGUAAUCGCAGAUCAGCAACGCUGCGGUGAAUACGUUCCCGGGCC
rnacentral:rRNA from 1 species